GGUUGCGAUCAUAACAGCACUAAUGCACCGGAUCCCAUCAGAACACCCGCAGUUAAGUGUGCUUGGGCGAGAGUAGUACUAGGAUGGGUGACCCCCCAGAAAGUCCUCGUGUAGCAACCC
rnacentral:rRNA from 1 species